rnacentral:misc_RNA from 1 species
GGAAGGAUCAUUAACAUUUUCCAAAACCUUAAUUCAACCCCAACCAUAUGUCGUUAAUUUGUUAUAUCUCUUCUAUAAACAGUCGAUUGUUAUUAAUGAAAGCAUUUUUAAUAUUUUGUGUGUAUCAUAACAAAAGAGAAAAUAGAAUGAUAAAUUUGUAUUGUACAUGAAAAGUAACCAGUCUUCUCGCGUCCCUUUUGAACUUGAGGAUCUUGUAUUUUAUUCGUAAAAUAUGAAGGAGAGUUUGAGAGAGUGUGAUAUAGCGUUUCGAGUAAUGUAUGAUAUAUAUUUGUUGUUUUGUUUUUUCAAUUGAAGUGAGAAAGCAAGAUGGAGAGAAUGUGAUUAGUUUGUAGCAAUUGGCAACUCGUUUUUUAACCCCAAACCCAACCUAAACAUUAUUUAGAACAGUUAAACGGAAGUUUGGAGAAAUCCCUACAACCGUGUUUUAUUGAAAGAUAAAACGAAACCAAGUACAACUCUAAGCGAUGGAUGUCUCGGCUCUUGUAACGAUGAAGAACGCAGCGAAAUGCGAUACGUAAUGCGAAUUGCAGUCAUCCGUGAAUCAUCGAAUCUUUGAACGCAACUUGCGCUUUCGGGAUAUUCCUGAAAGCAUGCCUCUCUGAGUAUCUGUUCUAUACUAUCUAGCCUUCGUGCUGGGAGAAUGAGUGUCUUGCUGUAAUAAGCUUAAGUCACUUGAAAUCUGUCGAGCCAUGAGUAAUUUGUUUUUUGUAUUGUCCUCAGAUUAUUCGAUCUAGUUUAUUUUAAAACUAUAAACUAAAGCAUUUGAAUCUUAUGCAAAGGAAUUAAAGAAAAGUCUUAGCGUUUCGGAAACGGCGUUUUGAUUAUCUGUCUUUUGUUGAUCAAGUGGCUCACUUCGGUGGGUUACUCUCGUUUUGUAAAGAGAGUUGCCAACGUUAGCCAGUGAGACUUCGGUCUUGCAACUUUCGUUGUUUGUGACUCAUUCAAUCUUUGUAUAACUGGGCAAGUCAAUUAAAAGGCUAAUAGUUGAAUUAGAUUUCGUUUUGAACCAGUCUCUCUUAGUAUUUAAUUUCAUUGUUUUUUAAAUGUCUUUAAUCUUUAGUUUUUUUAAGUAAGCGUUUGAGAAUUAUUCGAAGAUAAUACGUUAUAAAAAGCAUAUGAAAAGGUGUUAUUUGUUUUUCUGUGUUUUCUGUGAGAUAACUGUAACAGGUUAUUUCGCGACUUAUUGAAAACCUUUUUUUUUGAACAUAUUAGAUCUCAGAUGAAGCAAGAUUACCCCCUGGAUUUAAGCAUAUUAUUAAGGGGAGGAAAAGAAACUAACAAGGAUUCCCUUAGUAGCGGCGAGUGAACAGGGAGAAGCUCAAGGUGUCAACCGGAGUGUCUAGCGAUGCUUCGGGAUGUGCCCUUAGAACGUGUUGCCAGUUAUGACUCGGGUAUAAAUCCUUUGGAACAGGGUAUCAUAGAGGGUGAGAAUCCCGUUUAUGACUCGAAGUUUGUAACGUACGGCGCAUGUUUCACGAGUCGAGUUGCUUGGGAGUGCAGCUCUAAGUGGGUGGUAAAUUCCAUCUAAAGCUAAAUAUUGACAAGAGACCGAUAGCGAACAAGUACCGUGAGGGAAAGAUGAAAAGAACUUUGAAAAGAGAGUUAAAUAGUACCUGAAAUCGCUUAGAGGGAAGCGCUGGAAGCCAGUCAUAUAUGCGGUUACGUUUCUUGCUUAUUUGUUGGUGUUUUGUGUGCUAGUUAGUGGGUAAUUCCCUAAUGUGGUUACUAAAAUAUCAAUAGGUGAGUUUCGAAGCGUAGAUGCGUGUCAGGAUCAAUUCGACCUGAGGGAGAAAGCUGUCGAGGGGUGGCUCUUCGGAGAUUCUACUCGUGCAGUCCUUUUAACCUUGAGUUGGAUUGAGGUGAGACUUCGUAUCGUUUUACGUGAUCUUUGCUUAUGAUUUGUUGUGCAGGAACAAUACGAAAAGUAUUACUUUUUGUGCAAUGAGUUACUAAGUAGAGUAGCAGUUGAGACGAUCGGGAUCCUGGCGAAAUGGUUUUCAUCGACCCGUCUUGAAACACGGACCAAGGAGUCUAACAUAUAUGCGAGUGUUUGAGUGUAAAAACUCUGACGCGAAAUGAAAGUGAAGGCUGGUUCGCCCAGCUGAGGUAGGAAACUCUCGCAAGAGGGUGGCACUAUCGACCGAUCGUCAUUUAUGAUAGAUUUGAGUAAGAGCAUAUCUGUUGGGACCCGAAAGAUGGUGAUCUAUGCCUGAACAGGUCGAAGCCAGGGGAAACUCUGGUGGAGGAUCGUAGCGAUACUGACGUGCAAAUCGUUCGUCUGAUUUGGGUAUAGGGGCGAAAGACUAAUCGAACUAUCUAGUAGCUGGUUCCCUC